AGAGUUUGAUCCUGGCUCAGAACGAACGCUGGCGGCGCGCUUAAUACAUGCAAGUCGAGCGAGAAAGUCACCUUCGGGUGGCGAGUAAAACGGCGAACGGGUGAGUAACACGUAAGCAACCUACCUCUAAAUCUGGGAUAACCUUGCCAACGCGGGGAUAAUACCGGAUGUGAUCAUUUAGCCACAUGGUUUUUUGAUUAAAGAUGACCUCUACUUGUAAGUUAUUGUUUAGAGAUGGGCUUGCGGACCAUUAGCUUGUUGGUAGGGUAACGGCCUACCAAGGCGACGAUGGUUAGCCGACCUGAGAGGGUGAUCGGCCACAUUGGGACUGAGAUACGGCCCAGACUCCUACGGGAGGCAGCAGUAGGGAAUUUUGCGCAAUGGACGAAAGUCUGACGCAGCGACGCCGCGUGAGUGAUGAAGGCCUUCGGGUCGUAAAGCUCUGUUAAGUGGAAAGAAAACUAUAAGGAACAAUACCCUUAUACUUGACGGUACCACUUGAGGAAGCCCCGGCUAACUACGUGCCAGCAGCCGCGGUAAUACGUAGGGGGCAAGCGUUGUUCGGAAUCACUGGGCGUAAAGGGAGUGUAGGCGGAAGGGUAAGUUAGAAGUUAAAUAUAUGGGCUCAACCCGUAGUCAGCUUUUAAUACUGCUUUUCUUGAGUAUGGGAGAGGGAGAUGGAAUUCCAGGUGUAGCGGUGGAAUGCGUAGAUAUCUGGAAGAACACCAGUUGCGAAGGCGGUCUCCUGGACCAAUACUGACGCUGAGGCUCGAAAGCUAGGGGAGCGAACAGGAUUAGAUACCCUGGUAGUCCUAGCCGUAAACGAUGGAUACUAGUUGCUGGAGGAGUCAAUCCUUUCAGUGACGAAGCUAACGCAUUAAGUAUCCCGCCUGGGGAGUACGCUCGCAAGGGUGAAACUCAAAGGAAUUGACGGGGGCCCGCACAAGCGGUGGAGCAUGUGCUUUAAUUCGAUGCAACGCGAAGAACCUUACCUGGGUUUGGCAUGGAAGUGAAAGUUUCUAGAGAUAGAAGCCUUUCCGCAAGGAACACUUCACACAGGUGCUGCAUGGUUGUCGUCAGCUCGUGUCGUGAGAUGUUGGGUUAAGUCCCGCAACGAGCGCAACCCCUGUUCUUAGUUGCCAUCAGGUAACGCUGGGAACUCUAAGAAGACUGCCUGGUAUAACCAGGAGGAAGGUGGGGAUGACGUCAAAUCAUCAUGGCCCUUACGUCCAGGGCUAGACACGUGCUACAAUGGCCGGUACAAUGGGAUGCGAGACUGUGAAGUUCAGCUAAUCCCCCAAAACCGGUCUCAGUUCGGAUUGGAGUCUGCAACUCGACUCUAUGAAGUUGGAAUCGCUAGUAAUCGCGGAUCAGCAUGCCGCGGUGAAUGCGUUCCCGGGCCUUGUACACACCGCCCGUCAAGCCAUGAAAGACGGUAGUACCCGAAGUCGUUCACCCAACCUCGUGAGGGAUGCGCCGAAGGUAAGACUGUUGAC
rnacentral:rRNA from 1 species